rnacentral:rRNA from 1 species
AACGAACGCUGGCGGCAUGCCUAACACAUGCAAGUCGAACGAGACCUUCGGGUCUAGUGGCGCACGGGUGUGUAACGCGUGGGAAUCUACCCUCAGGUUCGGAAUAACUCAGAGAAAUUUGAGCUAAUACCGGAUGAUGACGUAAGUCCAAAGAUUUAUCGCCUGAGGAUGAGCCCGCGUAGGAUUAGGUAGUUGGUGAGGUAAAGGCUCACCAAGCCGACGAUCCUUAGCUGGUCUGAGAGGAUGAUCAGCCACACUGGGACUGAGACACGGCCCAGACUCCUACGGGAGGCAGCAGUGGGGAAUAUUGGACAAUGGGCGAAAGCCUGAUCCAGCAAUGCCGCGUGAGUGAUGAAGGCCUUAGGGUUGUAAAGCUCUUUUACCCGGGAUGAUAAUGACAGUACCGGGAGAAUAAGCUCCGGCUAACUCCGUG